rnacentral:lncRNA from 1 species
AAGCUAUACCGAAAAUUAGUUCGCGUAGGAAUGGACAUAUUGGUUCACGUAAGGGUGCACGUAGAAUACCAAAGGGAGUUAUUCAUGUUCAAGCAAGUUUCAAUAAUACCAUUGUCACUGUUACAGAUGUACGGGGUCGAGUAGUUUCUUGGUCCUCCGCUGGUACUUCUGGAUUCAAAGGUACGAGAAGAGGAACACCGUUUGCUGCUCAAACCGCAGCAGCAAACGCUAUCCGUACCGUAGUGGAUCAAGGUAUGCAACGAGCAGAAGUCAUGAUAAAAGGUCCCGGUCUCGGAAGAGAUGCAGCAUUACGAGCUAUUCGUCGAAGUGGUAUACUAUUAACUUUCGUACGGGAUGUAACUCCUAUGCCACAUAAUGGCUGUAGACCUCCGAAAAAAAGACGUGUGUAGAGCUGAACAUUGAAGAAAUCUCAAGAGAAAUAAAAGAUUCGAUGAUCUAAUCAAAUAAUAGUACUAUGGUUCGAUGAGAGAAAGUACCAGUAUCUACUCGGACACGAUAGUGGAAGUGUGUUGAAUCGAGAACAGACAGUAAACGCCUUUAUUAUGGACGCUUUAUUCUGUCUCCCCUUAUGAAAGGCCAAGACGACACAAUAGGCAUUGCGAUGCGAAGAGCUUUACUUGGAGAAAUAGAAGGAACAUGUAUCACACGUGUAAAAUCUGAGAAAGUCCCACAUGAAUAUUCUACCAUAACGGGCAUUCAAGAAUCGGUACAUGAAAUUUUAAUGAAUUUGAAAGAAAUUGUAUUGAGAAGUAAUCUAUAUGGAACUUCUGACGCGUCUAUUUGUGUCAAGGGUCCUGGAUAUGUAACUGCUCAAGAUAUCAUCUUGCCGCCUUAUGUAGAAACCGUUGAUAAUACACAACAUAUAGCUAGUUUAACAGAACCAAUUGAUUUUUGUAUUGGAUUACAAAUAGAGAGAAAUCGUGGAUAUCUUAUAAAAACGCCACAUAACUUUCAAGAUGGAAGUUAUCCUAUAGAUGCUGUAUUCAUGCCUGUUCGAAACGCGAAUCAUAGUAUUCAUUCUUAUGGGAAUGGAAAUGAAAAACAAGAGAUACUUUUUAUCGAAAUAUGGACAAACGGAAGUUUAACUCCGAAAGAAGCACUUCAUGAAGCAUCCCGAAAUUUAAUUGAUUUAUUUAUUCCCUUUUUACAUAUGGAGGAAGACAAUUUAUAUUUACAGGACAAUCAACACACGGUUCCUUUAUCCCCUUUUACCUUUCAUGAUAAAUUGGCUAAACUCAUAAAAAACAAAAAAAAAAUAGCAUUGAAAUCGAUUUUUAUUGACCAAUCAGAAUUGCCUUCCAGGAUCUAUAAUUGCCUCAAAAUGUCCAAUAUAUAUACAUUAUUGGACCUUUUGAAUAACAGCCAAGAAGAUCUUAUGAAAAUUGAACAUUUUCGUAGCGAAGAUAUAAAACAGAUAUUGGGCACUUUAGAAAAAUAUUUCGUAAUUGAUUUAGCAAAAAAUAAGUUUUAAAUCUAUUGGACUUAUUUAGUCAAAAUAGAUUGAAAUCUUUAGCACAAUUAAUAUAUCAUAUAUUAUAUUAGAAAUAAAUUCAGAAUUAAAUUGACUAGAUGUAUCUAGGGAGAAUUCGCUUUGAAGAAACUAUUCCCUAGAUACACAUGUCGUGUUAUUUCACAAUUGAAUCAAUUAAAAAUAAAAAAUUUAAAAAAGACCUAAAGUUAGGGAUUUAUCAAUAGGUAAUGUUGCACCAAUGCCCAACCAAAGGGCGACUGCGGUACCAAUCAAAAAGACAGUCGUCGCUACUGGACGGCGAAAUGGAUUUUGGAAUUUAUUAACAUUCUCUAAAAAAGGUACUAUUAAUAAUCCCGCAGGUACUGAAACCAUUAAAAGAACCCCCAACAAUUUAUUGGGCACUGUACGAAGUAUUUGAAAUGCAGGAAAGAAAUACCAUUCAGGUAAGAUUUCCAAAGGGGUUGCAAAUGGAUCUGCCGGUUCACCAAUCAUUGAUGGUUCUAAAAUGGCUAAGCCUACAUUACAUGCAAUAGUACCUAGAAUUACUACUGAAAAAAUAUAUAAAAGAUCUUUGCGCCAUGCAGGCUCUCCAUAAUAAUUAUGACCCAUACCUUUAGCCAAUUUAGCUCUUAAUACAAGAUCAUUCAAGUCAGGUUUUUUUGUUAUUGGGAUAGGUGAAUUCUUAUAGAUCCAUCCCCCGAGGGAACUGGACAUAAUAAUUUUUAAUCAUCCAGCUCGAGCAAGAAUAAAAAGAACCAAAUGAAUCCAUAUAUCCAUAUAAAAUAUAUAUAUGGUACCUGUCUUUACACAUCCACAUAUAUGAUAGAGGAAUGGUUCAAUGUAAGAAAAAUUUGACUGAAUUCUUUUUUAUGGAAUUGCAACUAUCCAUUACAAAACAAAGAAUUCCGUUCUUACAAGUAAAUACUCAAGACCCGAGUAGGCUUACAAAUCAGAUCAUGAUAUGAUCAAGUGCUUUCUGGGUCGUCUCAGACCUUCUAAUUGGUAUUU